rnacentral:rRNA from 1 species
UACGUAGGGCGCAAGCGUUUAUCCGGAAUUAUUGGGCGUAAAGAGCUCGUAGGCGGUUUGUCGCGUCUGCCGUGAAAGUCCGGGGGCUCAACUCCGGAUCUGCGGUGGGUACGGGCAGACUAGAGUGAUGUAGGGGAGACUGGAAUUCCUGGUGUAGCGGUGAAAUGCGCAGAUAUCAGGAGGAACACCGAUGGCGAAGGCAGGUCUCUGGGCAUUAACUGACGCUGAGGAGCGAAAGCAUGGGGGAGCAAACAGG